ensembl:lncRNA SNX9-AS1 SNX9 antisense RNA 1
AGAGUGAAUGUUCGCUGGGGCCUUCCAGAAGACAGUUCAGUCUUAGCAAACUGGCCAGGAAGGAUUUUCAUCAAGAUGGAGGAAAAACCUGGAGAUCUUUGGCUCAAAGGACAUGACCUAAUUCUACAGAUGAAUCUGUACUGACGUUAGAAAACCACUGGUGGAACAUAAAACUUGUACAUUCUUCUAAAAAUGAAGGUAGAUCACAGCAGACUCAAUCUAUUUAUAGCCAGUCAUAUCAACAUUACUGAUUGGGAAUUACCAAAAGAGGUGAAAUUAUUUAACAAAUCCUUUGUUAAGUCAUAUUCUGAACCUACAGAUGUCAAUUUCAGGUGUUUAUUUUUUAAAUAAAGAUAAUUAAAACACUAAAAA